rnacentral:rRNA from 1 species
GAUGAACGCUGGCGGCGUGCCUAACACAUGCAAGUCGAACGAAGCAAUUAAGAGGAAGUUUUCGGAUGGAAUCUUGAUUGACUGAGUGGCGGACGGGUGAGUAACGCGUGGAUAACCUGCCUCACACUGGGGAUAACAGUUAGAAAUGACUGUUAAUACCGCAUAAGCGCACGCUACCGCAUGGUAGAGUGUGAAAAACUCCGGUGGUGUGAGAUGGAUCCGCGUCUGAUUAGCCAGUUGGCGGGGUAACGGCCACCAAAGCGACGAUCAGUAGCCGACCUGAGAGGUGACGGCACAUUGGGACUGAGACACGGCCCAAACUCCUACGGGAGGCAGCAGUGGGGAAUAUUGCACAAAUGGGCGAAAGCCUGAUGCAGCGACGCCGCGUGAAGUGAAGAAGUAUUUCGGUAUGUAAAGCUACUAUCAGCAGAGAAGAAAAUGACGGUACCUGAACUAAGAAGCCCCGG